rnacentral:rRNA from 1 species
GCAUGGACGAAGUCUGACGGAGCACGCCGCGUGAGUGAUGAAGGUUUUCGGAUCGUAAAGCUCUGUUGUUAGGGAAGAACAAGUGCCGUUCAAAUAGGGCGGCACCUUGACGGUACCUAACCAGAAAGCCACGGCUAACUACGUGCCAGCAGCCGCGGUAAUACGUAGGUGGCAAGCGUUGUCCGGAAUUAUUGGGCGUAAAGGGCUCGCAGGCGGUUU